rnacentral:rRNA from 1 species
AGGGGAGCGAAAGGGAUUAGGAUACCCCCUGUAGUCCUGGCCGUAAACGAUGAACACUAGGUGUCGGGGGAAUCGACCCCCUCGGUGUCGUAGCCAACGCGUUAAGUGUUCCGCCUGGGGAGUACGCACGCAAGUGUGAAACUCAAAGGAAUUGACGGGGGCCCGCACAAGCGGUGGAGUAUGUGGUUUAAUACGAUGCAACGCGAAGAACCUUACCAGGGUUUGACAUCCUGCGAAUCCCUUGGAAACGAGGGAGUGCCUUCGGGAGCGCAGAGACAGGUGGUGCAUGGCUGUCGUCAGCUCGUGUCGUGAGAUGUUGGGUUAAGUCCCGCAACGAGCGCAACCCACGUCGUUAGUUGCCAGCAUUCAGUUGGGCACUCUAGCGAGACCGCCGGUGAUAAACCGGAGGAAGGUGUGGAUGACGUCAAGUCAUCAUGCCCCUUACAUCCUGGGCUACACACGUACUACAAUGCUACGGACAAAGGGCAGCAAGCUCGCGAGAGUUAGCAAAUCCCAUAAACCGUGGCUCAGUUCAGAUCGUAGGCUGCAACUCGCCUACGUGAAGGAGGAAUCGCUAGUAAUCGCAGGUCAGCAUACUGCGGUGAAUACGUUCCCGGGCCUUGUACACACCGCCCGUCACACCAUGGAAGUUGGCCACGCCCGAAGUCGUUACUCCAACCUUGUGGAGGAGA